rnacentral:rRNA from 1 species
CCCUUAGAUGUUCUGGGCCGCACGCGCGCUACACUGACUGGUUCAUCGAGCUUACAACCUUGACUGAUAGGUUUGGGUAAUCUUUUGAAAGCCAGUCGUGAUGGGGAUAGAUUAUUGUAAUUUUUAAUCUUCAACGAGGAAUUCCUAGUAGACGUAGUUCAUCAGACUGCAUCGAUUACGUCCCUGCCCUUUGUACACACCGCCCGUCGCUCCUACCGAUUGAAUGCUCAGGUGAGCCAUUCGGACUUUCAUCAUGCUGGUUUCCAGUUUUGAUGAAGGAAAGUCUUGCGAACCUUAUCAUUUAGAGGAAGGAGAAGUCGUAACA